rnacentral:rRNA from 1 species
UACGAAGGGUGCGAGCGUUGUUCGGAUUUACUGGGCGUAAAGGGCACGCAGGCGGCCAAACAAGUCAGCGGUGAAAUCCCAGGGCUCAACCCUGGAACUGCCUUUGAAACUGUUUGGCUAGAGACCGAGAGAGGUGAGUGGAAUUCCUAGUGUAGAGGUGAAAUUCGUAGAUAUUAGGAGGAACACCAGUGGCGAAGGCGGCUCACUGGCUCGGUACUGACGCUCAUGUGCGAAAGCGUGGGGAGCGAACAGG